CUGGGAGCAGCUCAUGGGAAGGGUGGAUGGGGCUUGCUUGAGAAGGCCCUGCAGACCCUGCCCUGCUGAGCAGGCCACGCCCACAGAGCGCCUGCAGUGCUACUCCUGCCAGUCCCUGCACAGAGGCGAGAACUGCACCCAGAUGCAGAGCUGCCCUAGCCACGCCUCCUGCAUCACGCUGAUCACCCAUGGAAACACAGGUGAGUGGAUGCAGCUGGCACACACUUGGGGGCCCCAAGGGCAGGAGCCCACCUCUGUGCCCCUACUUCAACACCUGUUCUCCACCUUCCCCCAGACUCAGGUUUCCUGACCACCUACUCCAUGUGGUGUGUGGACACGUGCCAGCCUAUUACCAAGACAGUACAUGGAACCCAGAUGACCAAGACCUGCUGCCAGUCCACCCUGUGCAAUGUCCCACCCUGGCAGAGGCCCCAAAUCCUGGAUCCUCUGGGUGGCAGGGCAGGCAGCCCACAGGACGGUGGAGCUGGCCAUCCCAAGGGAGGCAGGGCAGGCAGCUCCCAAGAUGGCGGAGCUGGCCAUCCCCAGGAAGGGGAGGCAGACAGCCCCCAAGACAGUGGAACUGGCCAUCCCCAGGGCGGUGGGGCUGGCCAUCCCCAGGGCAGCAGGCCUGGACAUCCCCGGAGUGGUGGGGCUGGCCAUCCCCAGGGAGGCAAGGCAGGCAGCCCCCAAGAUAGUGGAACUGGCCAUCCCCAGGGCAGCAGGCCUGGACAUCCCCAGAGUGGUGGAGCUGGCCAUCCCCAGGGUGGCAGGGCAGGUGGCCCCCUAGGAUGUCCCCAAAAUGUGGGUACAGCCCUCCUGCUCAGCCUCCUCACCAACCUUUGGGCAACGGGGGCCUGAAGACUUGCCCUCUCCCACCACUUAGGCCCUGGCCUGGCGCUCUGUCCAGUGUCUCCCCUACCCCAUCUCCAGCCUGAG
rnacentral:lncRNA from 1 species